UACAGAGGGUGCUAGCGUUAAUCGGAUUUACUGGGCGUAAAGCGUGUGUAGGCGGUUUGUUAAGUCGGGUGUGAAAUCCCUGGGCUCAACCUGGGAAUUGCAUUCGAUACUGGCAAGCUAGAGUACGGUAGAGGGCGGCGGAAUUCCGGGUGUAGCGGUGAAAUGCGUAGAUAUCCGGAGGAACACCGAUGGCGAAGGCGGCUCUCUGGGCCUUACCUGACGCUGAGGAGCGAAAGCGUGGGUAGCGAACAGG
rnacentral:rRNA from 1 species